rnacentral:rRNA from 1 species
UACGUAGGGGGCAAGCGUUGUCCGGAUUUAUUGGGCGUAAAGAGCGUGUAGGCGGUUUGGUAGGUCCGUUGUGAAAACUCGAGGCUCAACCUCGAGACGCCGAUGGAAACCAUCAGACUAGAGUCCGGAAGAGGAGAGUGGAAUUCCUGGUGUAGCGGUGAAAUGCGUAGAGACCCGGAGGAACACCAGUGGCGAAGGCGGCUUCCUGGUCUGCGACUGACGCUGUGGCGCGAAAGCUAGGGGAGCAAACGGG